GAGCCAAGGACUGAGCGCAGCCAGCCAAGGUUGUGGGCUGUCUUUGCCCUUCUGUGUGAAUGGGGGUGUGGAGUGGGGAAAGUCGGGGGCCAGGGGCUGCGCUGGUGACACCUGCCUGAGCACUUCUGUCCUGGGGUGGGUGCAGGUGUUUGUGCUCUGGAGGACCUGCUCUUUGGGCGUCCAAAUGUGUUUCACAGCCUGUGCAUUUUGCCUGGUGGUGUCAAGGACGCAUAUGACAUGGACAGCCAUGGUGUGUAUUUUUACUGCAGAGCCCAGGGAUUUUCCCAUAGGUGUUUAAAGACAAUCACAUCUCCUAUUGAAACUCAAUCUCUUCUGUCCUGAAACAAGCAAAUAAAAAGAAAAACUGGCAUCU
rnacentral:lncRNA from 1 species